rnacentral:rRNA from 1 species
AACGCUAGCUACAGGCUUAACACAUGCAAGUCGAGGGGCAGCAUGGUCUUAGCUUGCUAAGAUCGAUGGCGACCGGCGCACGGGUGAGUAACACGUAUCCAACCUGGCCUUGACUCGGGAACAGCCUUUCGAAAGAAAGAUUAAUGCCCGAUGGCCUGCGGUUUCCGCAUGGUUUCCGCAGUAAAGAUUAAUCGGUGAAGGAUGGGGAUGCGUCCCAUUAGCUUGUUGGCGGGGUAAAGGCCCACCAAGGCUACGAUGGGUAGGGGUUCUGAGAGGAAGGUCCCCCACAUUGGAACUGAGACACGGUCCAAACUCCUACGGGAGGCAGCAGUGAGGAAUAUUGGUCAAUGGCCGAGAGGCUGAACCAGCCAAGUAGCGUGAAGGAUGACGGCCCUACGGGUUGUAAACCUCUUUUGUACGGGGAUAAAGUGUGUCGACGCGUCCCAUAUUGCAGGUACCGUANGAAUAAGNACCGGCUAAUUCCGUGCCAGCAGCCGCGGUAAUACGGAAGGUCCGGGCGUUAUCCGGAUUCAUUGGGUUUAAAGGGAGCGCAGGCCGCCUUUUAAGCGUGCCGUGAAAUGCCGUGGCUCAACCAUGGCACUGCGGCGCGAACUGGAGGGCUUGAGUGCGCGGAAGGCAGGCGGAACUCGUGGUGUAGCGGUGAAAUGCUUAGAUAUCACGAAGAACUCCGAUUG